GGUUAAGCGACUAAGCGUACACGGUGGAUGCCUAGGCAAUCAGAGGCGAUGAAGGACGUGCUAAUCUGCGAAAAGCGUCGGUAAGGUGAUAUGAACCGUUAUAACCGACGAUGUCCGAAUGGGGAAACCCAGUGCAAUUCGUUGCACUAUCGUUUGAUGAAUACAUAGUCAAACGAGGCGAACCGAGGGAACUGAAACAUCUCAGUACCUCGAGGAAAAGAAAUCAACCGAGAUUCCCCUAGUAGCGGCGAGCGAACGGGGAGCAGCCCAGAGUCUUAAUCAGCAUUAGCAUCAGGAGAACGGUCUGGAAAGGCCGGCAGUAAAGGGUGAUAGCCCCGUAUCCGAAGGUGUUAGUGUUGUGAACUCGACGAGUAGGGCGGGACACGUGUUAUCCUGUCUGAAUAUGGGGGGACCAUCCUCCAAGGCUAAAUACUCCUGAUUGACCGAUAGUGAACCAGUACCGUGAGGGAAAGGCGAAAAGAACCCCGGCGAGGGGAGUGAAAUAGAACCUGAAACCGUGUACGUACAAGCAGUGGGAGCCUUGAUUUAUCAGGGUGACUGCGUACCUUUUGUAUAAUGGGUCAGCGACUUAUAUUCUGUAGCAAGGUUAACCGUAUAGGGGAGCCGUAGGGAAACCGAGUCUUAACUGGGCGAAUGAGUUGCAGGGUAUAGACCCGAAACCCGGUGAUCUAGCCAUGGGCAGGUUGAAGGUUGGGUAACACUAACUGGAGGACCGAACCGACUAAUGUUGAAAAAUUAGCGGAUGACUUGUGGCUGGGGGUGAAAGGCCAAUCAAACCGGGAGAUAGCUGGUUCUCCCCGAAAGCUAUUUAGGUAGCGCCUCGUGAACUCAUCUUCGGGGGUAGAGCACUGUUUCGACUAGGGGGUCAUCCCGACUUACCAACUCGAUGCAAACUACGAAUACCGAAGAAUGUUAUCACGGGAGACACACGGCGGGUGCUAACGUUCGUCGUGAAGAGGGAAACAACCCAGACCGCCAGCUAAGGUCCCAAAGUCAUAGUUAAGUGGGAAACGAAGUGGGAAGGCUCAGACAGCCAGGAUGUUGGCUUAGAAGCAGCCAUCAUUUAAAGAAAGCGUAAUAGCUCACUGGUCGAGUCGGCCUGCGCGGAAGAUGUAACGGGGCUAAACUAUGCACCGAAGCUGCGGCAGCGAUAUGUAAAUAUUGUUGGGUAGGGGAGCGUUCUGUAAGCCUGUGAAGGUGUGCUGUGAGACAUGCUGGAGGUAUCAGAAGUGCGAAUGCUGACAUAAGUAACGAUAAUGCGGGUGAAAAACCCGCACGCCGGAAGACCAAGGGUUCCUGUCCAACGUUAAUCGGGGCAGGGUGAGUCGACCCCUAAGGCGAGGCAGAAAUGCGUAGUCGAUGGGAAACGGGUUAAUAUUCCCGUACUGGUGAUAAUUGCGAUGGGGGGACGGAGAAGGUUAGGCUGGCCGGGCGACGGUUGUCCCGGUUUAAGGAUGUAGGCAGGUGAAUUAGGCAAAUCCGGUUCACUAUAUGCUGAGGUCUGAUGACGAGUCACUACGGUGGCGAAGUAGCUCAUACCCCGCUUCCAGGAAAAGCCUCUAAGCUCUAGAUUAUCAUUAAUCGUACCCCAAACCGACACAGGUGGUCAGGUAGAGAAUACUCAGGCGCUUGAGAGAACUCGGGUGAAGGAACUAGGCAAAAUGGUGCCGUAACUUCGGGAGAAGGCACGCUGGCAUUAGGUGAAGUGGUUUACCCAUGGAGCUGAAGCCAGUCGCAGAUACCAGCUGGCUGCAACUGUUUAUUAAAAACACAGCACUGUGCAAACACGAAAGUGGACGUAUACGGUGUGACGCCUGCCCGGUGCUGGAAGGUUAAUUGAUGGGGUUAUCCGUAAGGAGAAGCUCUUGAUCGAAGCCCCAGUAAACGGCGGCCGUAACUAUAACGGUCCUAAGGUAGCGAAAUUCCUUGUCGGGUAAGUUCCGACCUGCACGAAUGGCGUAAUGAUGGCCAGGCUGUCUCCACCCGAGACUCAGUGAAAUUGAACUCGCUGUGAAGAUGCAGUGUACCCGCGGCAAGACGGAAAGACCCCGUGAACCUUUACUAUAGCUUGACACUGAACAUUGAGCCUUGAUGUGUAGGAUAGGUGGGAGGCUUCGAAGCGUGGACGCCAGUCUGCGUGGAGCCAACCUUGAAAUACCACCCUUUAAUGUUUGAUGUUCUAACGUUGCCCCGUUAUCCGGGGUGCGGACAGUGUCUGGUGGGUAGUUUGACUGGGGCGGUCUCCUCCCAAAGAGUAACGGAGGAGCACGAAGGUUGGCUAAGCAUGGUCGGACAUCAUGCGGUUAGUGCAAAGGCAUAAGCCAGCUUGACUGCGAGAGUGACGGCUCGAGCAGGUACGAAAGUAGGUCUUAGUGAUCCGGUGGUUCUGAAUGGAAGGGCCAUCGCUCAACGGAUAAAAGGUACUCCGGGGAUAACAGGCUGAUACCGCCCAAGAGUUCAUAUCGACGGCGGUGUUUGGCACCUCGAUGUCGGCUCAUCACAUCCUGGGGCUGAAGUAGGUCCCAAGGGUACGGCUGUUCGCCGUUUAAAGUGGUACGCGAGCUGGGUUUAGAACGUCGUGAGACAGUUCGGUCCCUAUCUGCCGUGGGCGUUGGAAGAUUGAAAGGGGCUGCUCCUAGUACGAGAGGACCGGAGUGGACGCACCACUGGUGUUCGGGUUGUCAUGCCAAUGGCAUUGCCCGGUAGCUAAGUGCGGAAAAGAUAACCGCUGAAAGCAUCUAAGCGGGAAACUUGCCUUGAGAUGAGUCUUCCCUGACCCUUUAAGGGUCCUAAAGGAACGUUUAAGACUAAGACGUUGAUAGGUUGGGUGUGUAAGCGUAGCGAUACGUUGAGCUAACCAAUACUAAUGAACCGUGAGGCUUAACCUG
rnacentral:rRNA from 1 species